UAUGUGACCCACUUGAAAGGCAGGGCAAGAUGAGUGUAAAUUGGAAGAGAGUAUAAAAGGCAAUGAGGGAGAAGAAAUAACAGUGGAAACUCACUCCCGGCUGGAUACAAGAUGGGAUGACCUGGGGACACUGUGUGCCUCUGGAGGUGCUGUGCCAGGGCAGGGAGCUGGUUUGUGUGGUUGUAACAGCUUCUGAUGUGCUGCGUGAUUCAGUUAUACAUACAUGAAUUCUUUUUCAUGUUCUUUUCCUUUGUGGUUUAUCAAAGGAUAUUGAGUGUCGUUCUUUGCAGAGAUAAAAGUGGCUUGGUCCAGACGGGCAGCCGUGGAGACAGGGACAAAUUAUAAGGGCUGCAUUUGGAAAGCUGACCUCUAGGAUUUGCUGAGAGAAUGCAGUUUGGGGCUUGGGAAAGGGGGGAGGAUUCAAGAACAGCUCCCAGGUUUGGGCUUUGCUAAGUGGCUGGUGGGUAUCUUUCCCACGAUGGGGAAGACGGAAGGUGAAGGGGGGCAGGGCUGGGAGAAACCUGGAGUUCAGCUUGCAGCUUGGGAGGUGUGAAAUACCCUCCAGUGAGCUGUGCUGAAUGUCUUCCAUCUGACCCUCUCAAUAACUCUCCCUUGCUUUCCAUCAGGCUCUGAAUGAUAGGAGACAGACAAUGGCUCAGUGGGCCUCCUCGCCCUCUGUCUUCCAGUUGGUUCUCCAAAAGAAAAGUCCAGAACAUGGGAGAGUGGAAGCAGGCUGUGUACUGCCCUGGCUCUUUUCCUGUUGUCCUGCAAGUGUAGACUCCAUUCCUCCUCCAGGGGCCCUAGUUUUUGAGGCAGAUCCAUUCCUCCGCUACUGUCUCUAUCACUGCACGUGGCCCUUCUCUUUCCUUUAACCCUCUCAGGCUGAGGAUGUAAGUAUCAUCAACCUCUUGUCCCUUGUUGGGUUUUUUCCUGAACGCUGCCUGUGCUGUUGUCCUUUUAUUUUUUUUAAAAAAAAAUGCUUAAGUGACCUAAAUCUUCACAAAUUUGAUCAUCAUACACAAGUUUUUGCUGCCAGGUACCUGAGGGAUACAAGAGGGACCUGGAAAGGGCAGCAGACCCUCAGAGCAGUGGGGAAUUAGAGCAAGGAGGUAAGCCCCAAGUUCAAGGUUGAAGGGUCCUGUGUUUAUCAGUGGCACUGCAAGUCAUAACACUGGGUUAGCUCAUCCUGGUAAAUUUUUCCUGACCCCUUCGGAACCCCUUACAACAGGGCUCAGUGCUUUUCCUCUGGCCAGGGAAUGAGCACAGAGGCCCACUCCCUUCCUUCCCAUCUUUUUCCUCAGCGCCUCUAACAAAGACAGUGUCAGGCUAUUCGCCGCGUUCCCCUCCCAAACUGCCAUUUCAAGUCAGAGUUUUACCAAAGUCAUUAUCUCUUUAAUUUGCUCCCCAAGAUAUUAGCUCACAAACAAGUGGCGCCUGCGAAUGGGAUUGAGCUGUGUGUUUUUGUCUGCUUUGUUUUCAAAUGCAUUUUUCUUCUUGAGGGCAGUGGUUGCAUUGACAAAAUUCCAUCUGGGAUUGGAGUUUCCAUCGUGGCGCAGGGGAAACGAAUCCGACUAGGAGCCAUCAGGUUGCAGGAUUGAUCCCUGGCUGCGCUCAGUGGGUUAAGGAUCUGGCAUUGCCGUGGCUGUGGCAUAGGCUGGCAGCUGCAGCUCUGAUUAGACCCCUAGCCUGGGAACCUCCAUAUGCCAUGGGUGCGGCCCUAAAAAG
rnacentral:lncRNA from 1 species